GACGAACGCUGGCGGCGUGCUUAACACAUGCAAGUCGAACGGAAGGGCCCUGCUUUUGCGGGGUGCUUGAGUGGCGAACGGGUGAGUAACACGUGAGUAUCCUGCCCUUGACUUUGGGAUAUCUCCAGGAAAAUGGGGAGCAUACCGGAUAGGAUCUCUUGCAGCAUGGUGGGGGUUGGAGAGUUACGGUGGUUGGGGAUGGACUCGCAGCUUAUCAGCUUGUUGGUGGGGUAGUGGCUUACCAAGGGUUUGACGGGUAGCCGGCCUGAGAGGGUGACCGGCCACAUUGGGACUGAGAUACGGACCAGACUCCUACGGGAGGCAGCAGUGGGGAAUAUUGCACAAUGGGCGGAAGCCUGAUGCAGCAACGCCGCGUGCGGGAUGACGGCCUUCGGGUUGUAAACCGCUUUCGCCUGUGACGAAGCGUGAGUGACGGUAAUGGGUAAAGAAGCACCGGCUAACUACGUG
rnacentral:rRNA from 1 species